AAUCCCCUUCCUUACUCCAGGUGCUUCAAAUGCAGUGUAGUGUCCUGGCAUUGUCUGGGGAAAGAAGAAAGUGCUUGCCCUUCAUCUUUAUUGGGCUUGCAUUCCCUUUAAGCCUUGUAUGUGAGCCAACAGA